UACGGAGGGUGCGAGCGUUGUCCGGAAUCACUGGGCGUAAAGGGCGCGUAGGCGGCGCGGAUAGUCGGCGGUGAAAGCCCGGAGCUCAACUCCGGGUCGCCGUCGAUACUUCCGGGCUUGAGCACUGUAGAGGCAGAUGGAAUUCCGGGUGUAGCGGUGGAAUGCGUAGAGAUCCGGAAGAACACCGGUGGCGAAGGCGGUCUGCUGGGCAGUUGCUGACGCUGAUGCGCGACAGCGUGGGGAGCAAACGAGGAUUA
rnacentral:rRNA from 1 species